GCCGAAGUGGCGGAAUCGGUAGACGCAGCGGACUCAAAAUCCGCCGCCCUUAAAAGCGUGUGGGUUCGAGUCCCACCUUCGGCACAA
rnacentral:tRNA from 1 species